rnacentral:rRNA from 1 species
ACGAACGCUGGCGGCGUGCUUAACCCAUGCCAGUCGCACGGAAAGGCCCUGCUUUUGUGGGGUGCUCGAGUGGCGAACGGGUGAGUAACACGUGAGUAACCUGCCCUUGACUUUGGGAUAACUUCAGGAAACUGGGGCUAAUACCGGAUAGGAGCUCCUGCUGCAUGGUGGGGGUUGGAAAGUUUCGGCGGUUGGGGAUGGACUCGCGGCUUAUCAGCUUGUUGGUGGGGUAGUGGCUUACCAAGGCUUUGACGGGUAGCCGGCCUGAGAGGGUGACCGGCCACAUUGGGACUGAGAUACGGCCCCGACUCCUACGGGAGGCAGCAGUGGGGAAUAUUGCACAAUGGGCGGAAGCCUGAUGCAGCAACGCCGCGUGCGGGAUGACGGCCUUCGGGUUGUAAACCGCUUUCGCCUGUGACGAAGCGUGAGUGACGGUAAUGGGUAAAGAAGCACCGGCUAACUACGUG